GCAGUCGUGGUCGAGUGUUUAGGGCGAUGGACUAGAAAUCCAUUGGGGUCUCCCGCACAGGUUCAAAUCCUGUCGACUUCGUGCA
rnacentral:tRNA from 1 species